CACAAUCUCACCUGAGUGACUGGAAGACCUAGACCCCAUUUAAAGGCUGACUCCCAAGGAGGAAGGGUCUCUAUCUGGAGAUCACUCCUCUUGGAGCCCUUCUGUGUGCCCAGGACACAGGAAGAAGUUGUUCCUAAUAUCUAAUCUGAACCUCCCAUGGUGCAAUGUGAGGCCAUUAUCAUUUGUUGCUUUUCCAUACUGUUUGGCACCAGUGGACAUCUGAUGCUCUGAGGUCUAGCACCUCAAGGUGCAUAGAGGACUCAGGAUCAGAACAGUCCUCCAUCACCCUCCCAAUGAACACACCCAGAAACACUGACCAAGCAAAAGUGAUGUGAUGAUGUAGGAUCAUGUACUCCUUGGACACCAUCUCCUUCCUACUCCUGGAUGCUAUGCUGGCCUUCAGGAACCAUUGCUUCAACAGUGUAGCAUUUUUUUUCUCCUGCCCAAUUUUAUUGCAUGGGGAAGUUUCAUUUCUUUUGUUGGUUUUCUUUUUUAGUCAAAAAGUGUGAAGAAGUAUAGGAUGCUCUGAUAGGAGCAAGAGUUACCGAGUCCUGGGGUUGCCUCAGCCAGAGUCAGGGAGUCAGGAAGGCUUUACGAUGGCAACACGACCUCCCCUUCUUUAAAAGUGUAACCCUCUGGGGGUCAGAGAAGCUCUCUCUUUCUGCUGCAGCUGAAAAAAACAGUUUGUGAGAGCAGAGGAAAUCAAAAGCAUCUAAUCUACAAAGACAAGGACAUGACAAUCUGUGACACCUUUUCAGCCAAAACAAGUCUGGUCUCUGGAGCUGCAAGGAAAUUCCGCUGAUAUUUCAGGACAUUGGUUCAGUCUUUGAGGGAGUUUGUUGAGCGGCUUGCCAGGGUGCUGAGGCAUGCUAAAAUGCUGUGUGUGUCUGCUUGCAAAGUUUUACAGUCUUUUAAGUAGAGUUGGGGCAUACUCCAACACGCAACAAGCUUUAACUAUGAGCAAGCAGGUCUGUUUUGCAGUGCAUUUGGCAAUAAAAAUUAUAUAUGUAUGAG
ensembl:lncRNA